rnacentral:ribozyme from 1 species
UGCCCAGCAACUCCUAUCCCCACCUCAGCGUGGCACCGGCUAGGCUGCGAACAACCUUAGGGAAGAUCGGGUAUUGAACCCCGAUGAGAACUUUGGUUGUAGGCUGACAGGAAAGG